UACGUAGGCAGCGAGCGUUGUUCGGAGUUACUGGGCGUAAAGAGUGCGUAGGCGGUUUUCUAAGUUUGGUGUGAAAUCUCCCGGCUUAACUGGGAGGGUGCGCCGAAAACUGGAAGGCUUGAGUAUGGGAGAGGUAAGCGGAAUUCCUGGUGUAGCGGUGAAAUGCGCAGAUAUCAGGAGGAACACCGGUGGCGAAGGCGGGUCUCUGGGCCGAUACUGACACUGAGGAGCGAAAGCGUGGGGAGCGAACAGG
rnacentral:rRNA from 1 species